GUUUCCGUAGGUGANCCUGCGGAAGGAUCAUU
rnacentral:rRNA from 1 species